rnacentral:rRNA from 1 species
GAUGAACGCUGGCGGCGUGCCUAAUACAUGCAAGUCGAGCGAACAGACGAGGAGCUUGCUCCUCUGGCGUUAGCGGCGGACGGGUGAGUAACACGUGGAUAACCUACCUAUAAGACUGGGAUAACUUCGGGAAACCGGAGCUAAUACCGGAUAAUAUAUUGAACCGCAUGGUUCAAUAGUGAAAGACGGUUUUGCUGUCACUUAUAGAUGGAUCCGCGCCGCAUUAGCUAGUUGGUAAGGUAACGGCUUACCAAGGCAACGAUGCGUAGCCGACCUGAGAGGGUGAUCGGCCACACUGGAACUGAGACACGGUCCAGACUCCUACGGGAGGCAGCAGUAGGGAAUCUUCCGCAAUGGGCGAAAGCCUGACGGAGCAACGCCGCGUGAGUGAUGAAGGUCUUCGGAUCGUAAAACUCUGUUAUUAGGGAAGAGCAAAUGUGUAAGUAACGAUGCACGUCUUGACGGUACCUAAUCAGAAAGCCACGGCUAACUACGUGC